GCUACAGUGCUACAACCUGUUUUCCUAAUUAUACUAACCCACCUCCUUACUUCCUUUUUCCUUUUUCCCUAAUCCACCGCAUUUCCCUUAGGGUUUACACUUGCUUCAGCCAACCACUCAAUCAGGCGUGCACAACCGAUCAGAGUACUAGCAGCUGCGUAAAUCGGUGAUCGGAACAACAGCAACAACGGAGAUAAGCAAAACAUUUGACGCUGCGUUUUUUAAGUUUCGGUGCGCAAAUCAGUGAUCCGAACAACACCAGUUCGGAACAACAGCAUGGUGGCAACAAUAAGUUCAAAUUCAGUUGUGUUGGUUUCGAAUUAGAUGCGCAUUAACAAGAUCGAGGAUUGCAAGUAGCCGCAGUUGAUGCACUACUGGAUAUAGAUCUACCUCACUCUAUAAAGACGUCUUUUAUGUUCAUCACCUCGAUAUGCAGUGAUCGGUACAACAGCAACAACGGAGACAAG